rnacentral:rRNA from 1 species
CGGACGGGUGAGUAACGCGUGAGAACCUGCCUCGAGGAGGGGGAUAACAGCGGGAAACGGCUGCUAAUACCCCAUAUGCCGAAAGGUGAAAAGAAAUUUGCCUUGAGAGGGGCUCGCGUCCGAUUAGCUAGUUGGUGAGGUAAGAGCUUACCAAGGCGACGAUCGGUAGCUGGUCUGAGAGGAUGAGCAGCCACACUGGGACUGAGACACGGCCCAGACUCCUACGGGAGGCAGCAGUGGGGAAUUUUCCGCAAUGGGCGAAAGCCUGACGGAGCAACGCCGCGUGGGGGAAGAAGGCCUUUGGGUUGUAAACUCCUUUUCUCAGGGAAGAAGAACUGACGGUACCUGAGGAAUCAGCCUCGGCUAACUCCGUGCCAGCAGCCGCGGUAAUACGGAGGAGGCAAGCGUUAUCCGGAAUUAUUGGGCGUAAAGCGUUCGUAGGCGGCAUUUCAAGUCUGCUGUCAAAGGCCGAGGCUCAACUUCGGAAAGGCAGUGGAAACUGAAAAGCUAGAGGUCGGUAGGGGCAGAGGGAAUUCCCAGUGUAGCGGUGAAAUGCGUAGAUAUUGGGAAGAACACCGGUGGCGAAAGCGCUCUGCUGGGCCGAACCUGACGCUGAGGGACGAAAGCUAGGGGAGCGAAUGGGAUUAGAUACCCCAGUAGUC